CGUAGGGAAACCGAGUCUUAACCGGGCGUUAAGUUGCAGGGUAUAGACCCGAAACCCGGUGAUCUAGCCAUGGGCAGGUUGAAGGUUGGGUAACACUAACUGGAGGACCGAACCGACUAAUGUUGAAAAAUUAGCGGAUGACCUGUGGCUGGGGGUGAAAGGCCAAUCAAACCGGGAGAUAGCUGGUUCUCCCCGAAAGCUAUUUAGGUAGCGCCUCGUGAAUUCAUCUCCGGGGGUAGAGCACUGUUUCGGCUAGGGGGCCAUCCCGGCUUACCAACCCGAUGCAAACUGCGAAUACCGGAGAAUGUUAUCACGGGAGACACACGGCGGGUGCUAACGUCCGUCGUGAAGAGGGAAACAACCCAGACCGCCAGCUAAGGUCCCAAAGUCAUGGUUAAGUGGGAAACGAUGUGGGAAGGCCCAGACAGCCAGGAUGUUGGCUUAGAAGCAGCCAUCAUUUAAAGAAAGCGUAAUAGCUCACUGGUCGAGUCGGCCUGCGCGGAAGAUGUAACGGGGCUAAACCAUGCACCGAAGCUGCGGCAGCGAACGUAUCACCCAAGACAACUUUACGGAGUUGACGAUUGACGGAGCGAAGCGACGUCAAAGCGUUCAUUAAAGUCGAGUUGGCUUAGGGAUACGUUCGUUGGGUAGGGGAGCGUUCUGUAAGCCUGUGAAGGUGUG
rnacentral:rRNA from 1 species